rnacentral:rRNA from 1 species
UUUCCAGAGAUGGAUUGGUGCCUUCGGGAACUCUGACACAGGUGCUGCAUGGCUGUCGUCAGCUCGUGUCGUGAGAUGUUGGGUUAAGUCCCGCAACGAGCGCAACCCUUGCCUUUAGUUGCCAGCAGUUCGGCUGGGCACUCUAAAGGGACUGCCGGUGUUAAACCGGAGGAAGGUGGGGAUGACGUCAAGUCCUCAUGGCCUUUAUGACCAGGGCUACACACGUACUACAAUGGCCGAUACAAAGGGCAGCGACACUGCGAGGUGAAGCCAAUCCCGUAAAAUCGGUCUCAGUCCGGAUUGGAGUCUGCAACUCGACUCCAUGAAGUUGGAAUCGCUAGUAAUCGUGGAUCAGCAUGCCACGGUGAAUACGUUCCCGGGCCUU